rnacentral:rRNA from 1 species
GAUGAACGCUGGCGGCGUGCCUAAUACAUGCCAGUCGAGCGAACAGACGAGGAGCUUGCUCCUCUGACGUUAGCGGCGGACGGGUGAGUAACACGUGGAUAACCUACCUAUAAGACUGGGAUAACUUCGGGAAACCGGAGCUAAUACCGGAUAAUAUAUUGAACCGCAUGGUUCAAUAGUGAAAGACGGUUUUGCUGUCACUUAUAGAUGGAUCCGCGCCGCAUUAGCUAGUUGGUAAGGUAACGGCUUACCAAGGCGACGAUGCGUAGCCGACCUGAGAGGGUGAUCGGCCACACUGGAACUGAGACACGGUCCAGACUCCUACGGGAGGCAGCAGUAGGGAAUCUUCCGUAAUGGGCGAAAGCCUGACGGAGCAACGCCGCGUGAGUGAUGAAGGUCUUCGGAUCGUAAAACUCUGUUAUUAGGGAAGAACAAAUGUGUAAGUAACUAUGCACGUCUUGACGGUACCUAAUCAGAAAGCCACGGCUAACUACGUG